GCUAAGAGUGGUGGCCCAUGCCAGGAAUCCUUUCUACUGGGAGGCUGAGGCUGGUGGCUCAUUGGAGCUCUGGAGUUCUGAGCCACAGUGGGCUAAGUUAGUUGGGCAUUUACAUUGUCUGACACCAAUAUGGUGGGGAGUGGGCACCAAGUUGCCUAAGGGUGAACUGAUCCAGGUUUGAAAAAGAGUAGGUCAAAGCAUCUCUGCUGAUCAGAAUGGGACCCCAGCCAUGAGUAGCCCCACACUUCCAGCCUGGGUGAGAUAAAGAGACCCAGUCUUA
rnacentral:SRP_RNA from 1 species